AGCGCGGGAAGAUGGUGAGCGCGUUCUCUAUGGGGACUUGUAUCGAACAGUUUGCGGCACUUUUGAAGGGAAUGGCGUUCGAUUUCCGACCAGAACCAGCGUUAGGCGGCUAACGAUUACCUGCAAUACGCCGAGAUGUCUCUAUUUCAAAAGCCUAAGUUCCCGCCAAACAAAACUAGUUUGAUCAGUUCGUCGACGCUCUUCUCCGGUGGAACAAGGCAGAAGUCUCACAAAUGCAGAAAAGGCAAUUGAAAUGAUGGGUGCCUCCUUACCGGAAAUUUUCCCAGGUGUGUUUGUCUUGUAUAUCUACUGAUCUUCUUGCAAUGUCAUAAUCUCAUGUGUACAAUUAAAAAUGAACAGAUUUGUGUGUCCUUGAAGGUUGUUCUAAAGUAAACCAUAGUACAGAGGUCACUUCCUGAAAAGGAACUCCUACAUUUAACCUAUUGCUAGGUUGUUUUCUAGAAACUCCCACUUAGAUAUUCCAGUAUGCACUUAAACUACAAGCAACUUUCUGAAGCUGGCAAUUUCUGCUGCCUUAUCUAUAUGAACGUGAUGUCUACUCUAUCAGUAAGAUUUACCGUUGAAUAUUUGGAACUUACACGCCUUCCGGUGAAUUUUUAUUCCACUGAUUUUGUUUCUUGGCUUAGAUUUUUGUUUGCAGUCGGAAUCUUUGUUCUAGUGUUUGGUUUGACUGGAUUUGCUUUGAUCCUUAUAUAUGGGCUGUUAGUCUAAUUUGCAUGCGGAUCUUAAUAUGGUAAUCUUGUGGAAAAAACUUUUUCUCUAUCAAUAUUUUGAUUUACAGUUAUUUUCUCCACUACCAUACUGGAUAAUUUUAUUUAUAGUUUGAUACUUGAAGUAAUAUCACCUUAUGUUUCUCUAUCAAUAUCAAAUUCUUAGUAUUUGAUAAUUUUAUUUGUUAAUACUAACUUAGUAUUAACAAAUUCUUCAUCAACUUCCGCUUUGGUAUUUAGACGUUGAUUUUAUUUCUUCGACAUCCACUUAAGGACACGAGUGUUUGUUUCUUUUUCUCUCCCGCCACAUGUCUCCAUCAAGUUCAUCAAUUUCUCUAGUUAAAAAUGAAUGAAUUCCACGGAAGAAAAUAUAAAUGACUUAGCUUUUAGCGUGUCUACCAAAACUCCGUAAUAUUUUCUUACAUUACAUUUGGAGUACCAUAAAUAGACAUGACAAUGGUAAGUGUGUUCGUGGUUGAAUCAGAUUUUCUUUAGUUAGAUUUUGAAUAUAAGUACCUGGGUAGCAAUGGUUGAAGAAAAUUGCCGAAGAGCCUUGCGUAAAGGGGCGGGGAGGCCAGAGUAAAGGAAAGUGCAGGUGACUCAAAUAUUCUGAUGUGCGUGCGUGGAUUGGUGAAAAUCUUUCCCUUUUGCUAUUUUUCCUGUCUAUUUGUUUACUGAUUUAAUUUAUGCUUAGUGUCAACAUAAUUGAUACUUCAGGCAUUUAAAAGUUCAUCUAUCGCGUUGUUGUCUUUCCUCUAAAAAAUGAGUACUGUUGUUCAAAUUGAAAGUGGCUAAGUUAUACUGCUACUAGUGACCAUAUAUAUAUAUAUAUAUAUUUAGCGCUAUGUUGUUAUCAUGUGCCUUACCUUUUAGUAUGAGCUCUUAUUUUUCCUAGGAGUAUUAAAUAAACUGAGUUUUUGAAAAAUUGGUGACAGAAAGACGAUGAACCGUCUUAUUCAUUUAGAGAGUAUCUAAAAUAUAUUAUUAGAAAAUAUUGUGGUAUGUCCAAUCAUUUGCCAAUUGCCAUUUGCUUGCCAUAAUCCUUGUUAAGGCAUGGGGGGCGUUGCUUUAUGGAAUAUUUUAUUGGUAAGAACUUCUGAUUAUCCUAAAAGAUGGACGUUUUGUGAUUUUCCUCUUAGCUUUAAGCUGUAAAUUGAUUGCCAUCUAAUCACUGCUCUUAUGUCAAGGACAGGGGAAUAAACCUUGCUGAACCCAACCUGGAAAGAUUCGCCGGGAGGAAAAGGUGUCGCCAGAGUUCGUGACCGACUUUGCAUAAAACAAAUAAAGGGUGGAAAAGCAAAGGGAAUUAGGUUGGUGAGAAGAUAUUUCAGCAGUGGACCAUUGGGAUAUUUGGCGGCCACGUUUGCAUGGUACAAUAAUAACCCUUAUUAAUUUACCUUAUUUUAUGUUCCUUGCUUUGUUUGCCUUUAGAAAGUAGCAUUUGAUGUCUCAGCUCCUCUUUCAAUAAUUAAUCAUAUUAUAUAUGAAAUGCAGCAUCAGUCCUUCCCAUAGUCUUGCAUAUUCUGUGUUGCUAAAUUUUAAAGUUAGUUUGAUGUGAACAUUUGGCUUCAUUAACUGACAAAUUCUCUCUGAAAAUGUUGAGAAUUCUAAGAAGAAUUAGAUUUUUUAAUUAUUUGCAUGAAUGUGAGCAUUAGUAGUUUAAUUAUGGUCCAUACCCUAUAUUAUUUGUUUUUACCAAUAGAGCCCCCCACAAUCCAACUAAUUCUUGUUUGCAAAACAAUUUAUGAAUCCCCCCACUCCCACAAGAAAGGUAAAGUGUUGAAAAGAUAUUGCAAAAAAGGGAUCAUUUUAGCUUUUUCUCUCUUCUUUUGGCACUAAUUUUUUACUUUUAUUGCAUCCAAUUGUCUUUUGAUGAAUAUAUAUUACAAAUUAGGUGGCUGUUUGAUUGGAUUAUGGGUCGGUGUUUCUUGAGCAAGUUGCAUUUAUUCAUUCAUUUGAUAGAAUAUUAAUCAUGAUUAUUAUAGCAUUUAGUUGGGUAUUUAGCAUUUUAAUCUUCAGUUAUGCUCCCAUUAACUACUUCAAUUGAUUAGGGACCCAUUGAUUGAAUCUGAUUUCACUUUGAAUUUCAACUUUUUACUUCAAUUGAUUGGGGACCCAUUGAUUGAAUCUGAUUUCACUUUGAAUUUCAACUUUUUUAAAGUCUUUUGUUUUUAGAUAAUUGCAAUUUUUUAAAAGGGGUUUGUUUCUAGGUAAUUGCAACUGGAAGAUGGUGGAUUGUUUUUUUGGUUUUUUUAAUUUUAAUCUUUCUUUAAUUCUUUAAAACAAAAAUUAACCAAACACUCCUUAUUCCUUCACUUAACCAAACACUCCUUAUUCCUUCACUCCUGAACUACUCCUAAACAACUACUUCCUUCACCUUUUUGAAUUUUUUGCCUCUCCCUCCUCGUAUGGCUCUUUCUAAGAAUCAGACCAUAGCACUAAACAUCCGUCGUCGAAGAUAUUAUAUUCCUUUACAGGAAGGAGAGGAAAUGAAGUGAUUGAAUAAAGGAUAAUUCUGCUUUCGGCUGGUUCUUUUCUUGUUUGUUAUUAGAAGUUUUUGUUCGAGGCGGCCGACUUGUUGAAGCUUUGC